GGAAGUGACGUCAAGGGACGUCGCACAUGCCGGAAGUCCGGAGAGGUAAAAACUGAGAGGCGCAGAAUCACGCUUCAUCUCUAUUGCAGCAGGACCAAUCUCCAGCUGUCUGGAUACACGGAGAAAGGAGGUGAAUGUAAAUGAAUUUCCAUAUAUACACAAACACACUCUAUUAAAUAUGAGGCCAUCUGUUUACUGAGUUCAGGAAAGCAGGAGAAGGAAAGUUUGUUGAAGGCCUUCUUGAAAUCUGGCAGCCCCACCUCGUGAGGAAAGAUGGCAACAGCCCUGAGAAGGAAAAAAGAAAGAAUGAUUGCUACAGAAGUACCCAGAUUGCUUGGCAGGAGCACUCCCGCACUUUGCAGAGGGCACAUUUGGGGCCCUACGAAGCGCAGGAACGCUCCUCGCCCCUGCAUGAUGGCAUCUCUUCCCGGAGGUGACGUCAUUGCAUGACCCCAGGAGCAAUCAAGGCAUCGGAAAAGGGCUGUAAUUCCUAAGCUGAUGACUGAAGCCUGGAUUCCAGUUUGUUUCUAUAAUCAAGAGGACUUUAUCACCUGGUGGACCUGAGCCGUUGGACUUUGCUCACCCCGAAGUGGUGCCAAGAGGCAACCAGUAACGUGGCUGAACUCAAAGACAUUAUUUCUGUUCUCUGUUCCACGCAUGCCUUUGGAUAUAAAAAUCUAGUUGUAUGGU